CACUCACUACCGUGGACACAUGUCAUAUUUUGAAUUUCUCAUUACAUAGUUUUGACGGACUGUUCAAGUUAGAUGGUCUGUGGCUUAACACAUAUUUUAUAAGACUAACUACAAAUAAUUGCACGACUCGUAGUAUCAGAGGAUGCGUUUUCAAAAUCAAAACUACGUUUGGAGAGCGUUUUGUAUAUCAAUUGUUCGCAUCAACGCUUCUUUACUUUUGUAAUUAAAAAGUUUUUGUUUGUGUUAUCAAUUUUUUUACACUGAAGAUGGCCACGUCCCUUGGCCAAAACGUCUGUAAUAAUUUGGAAUAAAAAUUGAA